rnacentral:misc_RNA from 1 species
GAUGAAGAACGUAGCGAAAUGCGAUACGUAAUGUGAAUUGCAAAUUCAGUGAAUCAUCGAAUCUUUGAACGCACAUUGCGCCCCUUGGUAUUCCAUGGGGCAUGCCUGUUCGAGCGUCAUUUGUACCUUCAAGCUCUGCUUGGUGUUGGGUGUUUGUCUCGCCUCUGCGUGUAGACUCGCCUCAAAACAAUUGGCAGCCGGCGUAUUGAUUUCGGAGCGCAGUACAUCUCGCGCUUUGCACUCAUAACGACGACGUCCAAAAGUACAUUUUUACACUCUUGACCUCGGAUCAGGUAGGGAUACCCGCUGAACUUAAGCAUAUCAAUAAGCGGAGGA